UUGUACAGUCAACUGAAGUUAUUUACUUUAUUAGUUUAUUUAAAUUUAAAAUAAUAAGCCAAGGCUUUAGAUGCUCUAACAAUACAGUAAAUGAAAUGAAUCCCAUCAGUAUAGAAGUAAUAAUUUCAGCGGGAACUCAGCCAGCCGGAUGCCUAUCAAAACUCCUUCUCACCUCUUCCUCAUUGUGAGGAGCAUGCUCUCUUCAAAAUCCUUUCUAAUGCCUUCCUUUUUAACUACACCCUCUAUUGGUUACAACCUACAAUUCUUCAAGUAUACCAUCUAGGAGUGACAUGUUGUAACAAACAUCUACUAGUGCUCUUUUCUGUCUACUUCUAUGCUGAUUUUGCAGUUAUUAUUUGUUUGAAGAGAGUUACAGGGUCUCUUCUUUAUAAGCAGUUUGUAAUAUUUGUCAAGUAUCUUAAGCUCUUUGGAUGAAGACAUUAGGGCAUAUGCCUAUGAGCUCUCUUAUGGAAAAGCCCUAUGGAAUUUAACAGAAAACCCUCAAGAGGACGAUCGUGACUGAAUGUACUGUGCUGAAAAUGGAGUGUUUUUUCAACCAUACCACAAUUGACACAAUAAUAGACGGGAGUUGUCAAUCACCUCUACAAUUACCUAGAAUAAGCGGAUUAAAAGCUACAAUAAUUAAAGAAACCAUGUUCUUGAAGAAAAGGAAAAAUAUAUGUUAAUUGAUGAUGAAACUGUGAUAUGACAGAAUACAGAAGUUAUAAUUUUUAAAGUAUUAAAAUAAUACUCCUCGUCAAGAAUU